rnacentral:rRNA from 1 species
GACGAACCGUGCAAACGUUAUUCGGAAUCACUGGGCAUAAAGGGCGCGUAGGCGGCUCCAAAAGUCAGGGGUAAAAUCCGGCAGCUUAACUGUCGCAGUGCCUUUGAUACUGUGGAGCUAGAGGGAGGUAGGGGUCUGUGGAACUUCCGGUGGAGCGGUGAAAUGCGUUGAUAUCGGAAGGAACGCCGGUGGCGAAAGCGACGGACUGGAUCUCUUCUGACGCUGAGGCGCGAAAGCUAGGGGAGCAAACGGG